rnacentral:rRNA from 1 species
CGCUCAGGACGAACGCUGGCGGCGUGCUUAACACAUGCAAGUCUAUGAGAAUAAGGCAGCAAUAUCUUUAGUAAAGUGGCGCACGGGUGAGUAACACGUAAGUAACCUACCUUUAGAUUUGGAAUAACCCCGAGAAAUCGGGGCUAAUACCGAAUGAUGCAGCGGCACCACAUGGUGAUGUUGUUAAAGUCUAUAUGACGUCUAAAGAUGGGCUUGCGUCUGAUUAGCUAGUUGGUGAGGUAACGGCCCACCAAGGCUACGAUCAGUAGCUGGUCUGAGAGGAUGAUCAGCCACACUGGAACUGAGACACGGUCCAGACUCCUACGGGAGGCAGCAGUGAGGAAUAUUGGGCAAUGCCCGAAAGGGUGACCCAGCAACGCCGCGUGGAGGAUGAAUGUCGUAAGAUUGUAAACUCCUGUUAGAGGGGAAGAAUAAUUCCGAUCGACUCGGAAAUUGACUGACCCUCAGAG